AUUGAACGCUGGCGGCAUGCUUUACACAUGCAAGUCGAACGGUAACAGGUUAAGCUGACGAGUGGCGAACGGGUGAGUAAUGCAUCGGAACGUGCCCGAUCGUGGGGGAUAACGCAGCGAAAGCUGCGCUAAUACCGCAUACGAUCUGAGGAUGAAAGCGGGGGACCGUAAGGCCUCGCGCGAUCGGAGCGGCCGAUGUCAGAUUAGGUAGUUGGUGGGGUAAAGGCCCACCAAGCCGACGAUCUGUAGCUGGUCUGAGAGGACGACCAGCCACACUGGGGCGGAGACACGGCCCAGCCUCCUACGGGAGGCAGCAGUGGGGAAUUUUGGACAAUGGGCGAAAGCCUGAUCCAGCAAUGCCGCGUGCAGGAAGAAGGCCUUCGGGUUGUAAACUGCUUUUGUACGGAGCGAAAAGGUCCUUUCUAAUACAGGGGGCUCAUGACGGUACCGUAAGAAUAAGCACCGGCUAACUACGUGCCAGCCGCCGCAGUAA
rnacentral:rRNA from 1 species